rnacentral:rRNA from 1 species
GACGAACGCUGGCGGCGUGCUUAACACAUGCAAGUCGAACGGAAAGGCCCUGCUUUUGUUGGGUGCUCGAGUGGCGAACGGGUGAGUAACACGUGAGUAACCUGCCCUUGACUUUGGGAUAACUUCAGGAAACUGGGGCUAAUACCGGAUAGGAGCUCCUGCUGCAUGGUGGGGGUUGGAAAGUUUCGGCGGUUGGGGAUGGACUCGCGGCUUAUCAGCUGGUUGGUGGGGUAGUGGCUUACCAAGGCUUUGACGGAUAGCCGGCCUGAGAGGGUGACCGGCCACAUUGGGACUGAGAGACGGCCCAGACUCCUACGGGAGGCAGCAGUGGGGAAUAUUGCACAAUGGGCGGAAGCCUGAUGCAGCAACGCCGCGUGCGGGAUGACGGCCUUCGGGUUGUAAACCGCUUUCGCCUGUGACGAAGCGUGAGUGACGGUAAUGGGUAAAGAAGCACCGGCUAACUACGUG